CCUGAGACAAGAAGCCCCUCGGGAUCUCUAGGGCACGGCCCCAGACAACAUUUGAGUCACAAGAACCUCACGCACCCCUCACGUUUCUUUAUCCCCCAUUUGGCAGCCCGCAGCCCAAGAGGGCAAAACUGAGGCCCAAGUAGGCCAAGGCCUCCCGCCCUCCAGCAAGGACUCAGUGCCACAGAGCGAGGAGAGGCCCCCUUCCUCCACCUAAGAGUUCCUGUCCCCCCUCCUCAAGAAGCCGUGGAGGCCACAGAAGCAGGCGAACGUGAACUGGGGCAUGCCCUAGGCCAGGCUGGGGGGCCGCUCACCAGAGAUCUGCAAGGAGAGGCAGGGGAGGAGGAAGAGGGGCAGGAGGAAGGCAAGAGAGAGAAGCAAGCUGGGGUUAACAUUCCCAGAGCCCUCCGGAUCUGGCCACUCCCUGAGGCUGCCCAGGCCCUGCCAAACCUCUCACACAGGUUGGAGGAUGGGGGGCGGGGCGGGCAUCAAACAAACAGCCUCUGUAAACGUUCCGUGUUUCCUGA